rnacentral:rRNA from 1 species
AAGCGCUUGCAGCCAGACUUGCCUGUAGUUGCUCGCCUGGGCUUUUGCCCGGGUUACUCUUCUGCAGGCAGGCCAGCAUCAGUUUGGGCGGUCGGAUAAAGGUCCCUUUCACGUAUCUCCCUUCGGGGUUAACAUAUAGGGGGGACGUAAUGCGACCAGCCUGGACUGAGGUCCGCGCAUCUGCUAGGAUGCUGGCGUAAUGGCUGUAAGCGG